GGGGAUUUGGCUCAGUGGUAGAGCGCUUGCCUAGCAAGCACAAGGUCCUGGGUUCAGUCCCCAGCUCCG
rfam:Rattus norvegicus chromosome 1, whole genome shotgun sequence.